CAGGGACGAGUGGGCAAGGGUCGGGGUCGGGGGGCGAAAGCAUAGUAUGAGGCAAAGGGUAAAAAAGGGGAGCCGCACAAUCUCUGGAAACAACAGAAAAUCCUGAAUUUGCGUGUGGGGAGGGGGAGGGGAGUAGAAAGUGAUAAGAACGAAGACAGUAAAUUGGGGUAAAUCUAAAUGGCCCUCCUUGCUGGGGUGCUCCCUGGGGAGCCUGAAAACUCAAAGGAGAGGUGGGUUAAGGACCCACCGGCCAAGGCCGAAAGCGCAGCGGCGCCGGCCCUGCCGCCCCCGUGGGCCGCUCACUACUCCGCUCGCUCUCACUCCACUCGCUCUCUUUUUUGGAUUUCGUCAUCUUUUCAAAAAAUCAAUAAAAAUAUUCUGGAGGCUCCAGGGGUCUCGUUCUUGGCCCCAUCCGGACCCCCAGACCCUGCUCUAUCAUUCCCGACAAUUGAAAAAAUUGUCGGGGAGGGUCCGCGCGGCCCAGGCGCCGCAUUUGGGGGGUGGGUGGGGAGAGGUGGGGAAGCGAGGGGGAGGGCGGAGGGAGCGAGCGCCGCGCAGCCUGGGCGGCCGGGAGUCGGAGCAGGGGAGCCGGGUUCAAAAAAUAAUUAAAAAUCGAGAAAAUAUCCCAGACAAGCCCUUUCGGCGUGAAAACCCCAGAGAGGACCCAGGCUUCCCGCAGCGGAGAUUUCGGGUGCCGGGAAGGUCUGGACUGCGACCCCUGGGGCUUUGGAUCCCGAGGGGAAACUUGCAGGGAUCUCCGCACCCAGGAAACUGAAGGCCAAACCGCGAUAGAUGCUAAAACCAUCUCAUAUGAAGACUGAUGUUGAAAAUGCAUCUUCCAAAAGAUGCCCAGGCAACCACAUAGACUGGACUUUAUCACACCCCCUUCUGUCUACAUCUGGGUGGUAAGACCUGGAGCCCAGCAGUGACCUCAAGCCAGAAGAAGCCUCUCACCAAGAUCACUAGGAAGGUGACAUUUGUUUCUCCGUGCUUGCUGAGCUGGGAAAGUGGAUGCCUGGCUUUGAGAGUUUUGUUUUGUUUUGUUUUUUUGUAAUGAGAAUUGAAACAUAAAGGAUUCUUUUCACAUCAUCAUGCAGCUCACAGAAAUAGAGCUUGGAAGAACUUCUCCAAAGUCUUUAGGCUUUGGUCCAUUGACCUUUUACUGUAACAAGCACAUCAGAAACCACAAAUAAAUUGGGGAAGAGGGUACACACUUCACCAAAAGAUUUGUGCUUGGCUAGACAGUCUCCCACAGUGCUUUUUCAAAUUGAGAGAAUUUCUGAUACAUUUGAAAUGGCAGCAUUCACUUGAAAGUGAGAUUUGUCUAUUCCAUUUAGAAAAAUCUGGUGAUGUGGACUUCGUUUUUUGAAAUCCUCGAAAGUCACAUCAUGUUAAAGCUGAAAGGGGCAGUGGAGUCUUCUCUCCUCACUUGAUAGGAGAUGACACAGCAGCCUGGAGAAAUGAAGUGACUUGGUCACUUCAGCUUUGUUUGCGGCAGGCCAUCCACUUUCCAGCUUUCUCCCUUAACUAGGCAUCUUCUUGGCAGCCCAACUACCCGAGCGUCCCUGGUAAGGACCCUCUUCCUUGUGCUCAGCUGUCACAGUGGGUGUUUCAUUGUUGAUCCCCUUCUGGACUUUUUUGGUAUUUUUUUUUCCCUGUUAUUAUGGCAAAUUUUCAAACAUAAGGAUAGUGAAUAUAACAUAAAUAACUCCCAUGUGCCCUCGCCCAGCUUCUACAAUUAUUAACAUAUGGCCAAUCUUCUUUUAUCUACACCUAUCCCCAAAUAGCCCUCCCGCACAGAUGAUUUUAAAGCAAACCCAAACGUCAUGCAAUUUCAUCUAGAAACAUUCCCUGUGUCCCCGUGUAAGAAUUCUCCCACAAGGACAUAUUUAUAACAGAAAUGAAUGAUGAUUCCCUAAUGUCAAAUUUC